rnacentral:rRNA from 1 species
GACGAACGCUGGCGGCGUGCCUAAUACAUGCAAGUAGAACGCUGAAGAGAGGAGCUUACUCUUCUUGGAUGAGUUGCGAACGGGUGAGUAACGCGUAGGUAACCUGCCUUGUAGCGGGGGAUAACUAUUGGAAACGAUAGCUAAUACCGCAUAACAAUGGAUGACACAUGUCAUUUAUUUGAAAGGGGCAAUUGCUCCACUACAAGAUGGACCUGCGUUGUAUUAGCUAGUAGGUGAGGUAAUGGCUCACCUAGGCGACGAUACAUAACCGACCUGAGAGGGUGAUCGGCCACACUGGGAAUGAGACACGGCCCAGACUCCUACGGGAGGCAGCAGUAGGGAAUCUUCGGCAAUGGGGGCAACCCUGACCGAGCAACGCCGCGUGAGUGAAGAAGGUUUUCGGAUCGUAAAGCUCUGUUGUAAGUCAAGAACGGGUGUGAGAGUGGAAAGUUCACACUGUGACGGUAGCUUACCAGAAAGGGACGGCUAACUACGUG